rnacentral:rRNA from 1 species
GAUGAACGCUAGCGGCAGGCCUAAUACAUGCAAGUCGAACGGUGUCUUCGGACAUAGUGGCGCACGGGUGCGUAACACGUAUGCAACCUACCUUACAUUGGGGGAUAGCCUUUCGAAAGGGAGAUUAAUACCGCAUAAGACAGUAGCUGGGCAUCCAGCAGCUGUUAAAGAUUUAUCGAUGUAAGCUGGGCAUGCGUCCAAUUAGCUAGGUGGUGAGGUAAAGGCUCACCAAGGCAAUGAUUGGUAGGGGAACUGAGAGGUCAAUCCCCCACACUGGCACUGAGAUACGGGCCAGACUCCUACGGGAGGCAGCAGUAGGGAAUAUUGGGCAAUGGACGCAAGUCUGACCCAGCCAUGCCGCGUGCAGGAUGAAGGCGUUAUGCGUUGUAAACUGCUUUUAUACAGGAAGAAACGACUCUUGCGAGAGGCAUUGACGGUACUGUAUGAAUAAGCACCGGCUAACUCCGUGCCAGCCGCCGCCGUAAAAC